CCUACGGGAGGCAGCAGUCGAGAAUAUUCCACAAUGGGCGAAAGCCUGAUGGAGCGACGCCGCGUGCAGGAAGAAGGUCUUCGGAUUGUAAACUGCGGUAGUUCGUGAAUAAGUCGCAAGACUGAACUUAGCGAACGGAAAGAGGUGGGUAACUACGUGCCAGCACCAGCGGUAAUACGUAGACCUCGAGCGUUAUCCGGAUUUAUUGGGCGUAAAGCGCGUGUAGGGGGUUCUGUGCGUCUUGCGUUAAAGCCCACCGCCCAACGGUGGAACCGCGUAAGAUACGGCAGAACUGGAGGAGGUCAGAGGCAAGCGGAACGCACGGUGUAGGGGUGAAAUCCGUUGAUAUCGUGCGGAACACCAGAGGCGAAGGCGGCUUGCUAGGGCCUUCCUGACCCUGAGACGCGAAAGCGUGGGGAGCAAAAAGGAUUAGAUACCCUUGUAGUC
rnacentral:rRNA from 1 species